UUCCUCCAAUCAAAUAUGUUGUAAGUACUUGAAAAAAGAAAGAAUUUAAAUUUAGGAUGUGUGUGCAUCUAUGUAUAUUAAUAUAUAGCCGAUGAGCAUUUUCUUGAGUAAUUAUUUUCAUUCUCUUUAUUUCAAUAGUUUUUUAUUAAUAUUUUUGACAUUUUAUUAUGGUUUUUAAAUUUUAGCACAUGCAUGCAUAAUCACAACAGCUCUUAGAUAUCAACAAUUGUACUGUUGACAAAAAGAAGGUGAAAUAUUACAACUCCCAUUUGAAUCUCUAGCACACAAUAAACCCCAGUUCUUAUGUGAUUGAAACUUUUUCUUGAACCUUAGGGGCUGUUACUGGGUUCAUUGAAAUCACUUGUUGAUUGUUUGUAACCACCGUGGCGGGUAGAUUGGUCUCUGCCACCUGGAUGGUGGGUGUCUGGGGGAGAAGAGAGGGUUUGACUAUUUGAGAGAGAGAUCGAAGGAAGAGAAACCCAUCGGUUGGUAUGCUUACAUGGCAAUGUCACAUCAACAGAGACAUUACAGGUACUGCAAAAUGGCGAAGCAACUAGCCUUGUUCAUUUUAAAAUGGAAUUAGAAUUUGAGAAUUAUAGUAGAAUUUUGUUUUCAACGGCAUUAAUGUACAAAGAAAGUUAU
rnacentral:lncRNA from 1 species